UUUGAUCCUGGCUCAGGAUGAACGCUGGGCGGCGUGCUUAACAACAUGCAAGUUGAACGGUGAAGCAGAGCUUGCUCUGUGGAUCAGUGGCGAACGGGUGAGUAACACGUGAGCAAUCUGCCCCUGACUCUGGGAUAAGCGCUGGAAACGGCGUCUAAUACCGGAUACGAGCUGCGACCGCAUGGUCAGUAGCUGGAAAGAAUUUCGGUCAGGGAUGAGCUCGCGGCCUAUCAGCUUGUUGGUGAGGUAAUGGCUCACCAAGGCGUCGACGGGUAGCCGGCCUGAGAGGGUGACCGGCCACACUGGGACUGAGACACGGCCCAGACUCCUACGGGAGGCAGCAGUGGGGAAUAUUGCACAAUGGGCGCAAGCCUGAUGCAGCAACGCCGCGUGAGGGAUGACGGCCUUCGGGUUGUAAACCUCUUUUAGCAGGGAAGAAGCGAAAGUGACGGUACCUGCAGAAAAAGCGCCGGCUAACUACGUGCCAGCAGCCGCGGUAAUACGUAGGGCGCAAGCGUUAUCCGGAAUUAUUGGGCGUAAAGAGCUCGUAGGCGGUCUGUCGCGUCUGCUGUGAAAACCCGAGGCUCAACCUCGGGCCUGCAGUGGGUACGGGCAGACUAGAGUGCGGUAGGGGAGAUUGGAAUUCCUGGUGUAGCGGUGGAAUGCGCAGAUAUCAGGAGGAACACCGAUGGCGAAGGCAGAUCUCUGGGCCGUAACUGACGCUGAGGAGCGAAAGGGUGGGGAGCAAACAGGCUUAGAUACCCUGGUAGUCCACCCCGUAAACGUUGGGAACUAGUUGUGGGGUCCAUUCCACGGAUUCCGUGACGCAGCUAACGCAUUAAGUUCCCCGCCUGGGGAGUACGGCCGCAAGGCUAAAACUCAAAGGAAUUGACGGGGACCCGCACAAGCGGCGGAGCAUGCGGAUUAAUUCGAUGCAACGCGAAGAACCUUACCAAGGCUUGACAUAUAGAGGAAACGUCUGGAAACAGUCGCCCCGCAAGGUCUCUAUACAGGUGGUGCAUGGUUGUCGUCAGCUCGUGUCGUGAGAUGUUGGGUUAAGUCCCGCAACGAGCGCAACCCUCGUUCUAUGUUGCCAGCACGUAAUGGUGGGAACUCAUGGGAUACUGCCGGGGUCAACUCGGAGGAAGGUGGGGAUGACGUCAAAUCAUCAUGCCCCUUAUGUCUUGGGCUUCACGCAUGCUACAAUGGCCGGUACAAAGGGCUGCAAUACCGUGAGGUGGAGCGAAUCCCAAAAAGCCGGUCCCAGUUCGGAUUGAGGUCUGCAACUCGACCUCAUGAAGUCGGAGUCGCUAGUAAUCGCAGAUCAGCAACGCUGCGGUGAAUACGUUCCCGGGUCUUGCACACACCCGCCCGU
rnacentral:rRNA from 1 species